rnacentral:rRNA from 1 species
UUGGAACUGAGACACGGUCCAAACUCCUACGGGAGGCAGCAGUGAGGAAUAUUGGUCAAUGGACGAGAGUCUGAACCAGCCAAGUAGCGUGAAGGAUGACUGCCCUAUGGGUUGUAAACUUCUUUUAUACGGGAAUAAAGUGAGGCACGUGUGCCUUUUUGUAUGUACCGUAUGAAUAAGGAUCGGCUAACUCCGUGCCAGCAGCCGCGGUAAUACGGAGGAUCCGAGCGUUAUCCGGAUUUAUUGGGUUUAAAGGGAGCGUAGGCGGACGCUUAAGUCAGUUGUGAAAGUUUGCGGCUCAACCGUAAAAUUGCAGUUGAUACUGGGUGUCUUGAGUACAGUAGAGGCAGGCGGAAUUCGUGGUGUAGCGGUGAAAUGCUUAGAUAUCACGAAGAACUCCGAUUGCGAAGGCAGCUUGCUGGACUGUAACUGACGCUGAUGCUCGAAAGUGUGGGUAUCAAACAGGAUUAGAUACCCUGGUAGUCCACACAGUAAACGAUGAAUACUCGCUGUU